GACAACGUCCCCAGCGCAGCACACUGGAGCAGUGGGGGUUUGCUGUCCAGUUUGGAGGAAGAAGCUAAGACCACCUGAAGGCUGGAAAAGAACACUUGAA